GUUUUCUUCUCUUCUGCUGUUCGCGGCUUCUCUCCAGAUGCAAUAAAAGCUGAAGCUACUUCUUCGUAUCACGUCUUCUUCUACUACAGACUUCUCCGGUUCUCUCAAAGGAAACCAGCUGGAGCUUCUUCUUUCGCUUCGGGACCAUGAGUGGAGAUAGAACACCUCCUAUUAGUUCAAGUGCUGGGUCUGUUAAUGCUGAAACUAAUAGUGGAGCCGCUGAUGCUGAAAAUAUAGUGCACAUAUGUUUUUUUUCUUCUUAAUUUAUAUAUAGAUGCACAUAUAUAUUUAUAUAUUUAUUAAAAUAUAUUUUAAUUGACGUAUCAUUCCCGUACCCGUAUCUUAUUACAUUUAAGAUUUGCAGUAUCCACGUAUCGCACCGUAUUGUAUAGAAUACUCGUAGCCGUAUCGGUGCAACUUCACUCUCAUCAUCUGUCAAUGUAAUCGCCUGCAAUUGCUCUGUUAUUGAGAUAUAUUACGGAAGUAUGUGCUACAAUUGCACUGGUGCAAGUGACCCUUAUAGUUGGUUUUGAGCAAACAUUUUGGGGAAGGUUCAGGGCGAGAAAAUCUUUUCUAUAUCUUCUGAAGUCGUUUCAGUCUGCAAUGUGGUCUCUGGGGGAGAUUGCUUAGAGUUUUUGAGUUCUCAAUGUAAAUGGUAAUAAGUUGUAGCUGUACUCAUGUGUACUCAUGUGGCUUGUCACUUUAUCCAUCUGAAGGUUUUCUCAUGCUUCAUAUAAGGUGCUUGCAGUAUCAGAAUAAUAAUCACCAAGUAAUUAGAGUACUAUUUAGUUAGUUUGAA